GGCCCGUGGGCAUCCUCAGGCCGGGCUCGGGGGCCGCGGGGGACCCCAGCUCCCCUUCCUCACCUAAAAUCUCGCUGUGCCCCUCCCUCCCUGGCGCCUGGAGCCGAGUCCAGCCUGCGAUCCUUUGGCCGGACCUCGGUGACUUCGGUCGUCCCCCGCCCCCAGCUUGGGUUCCUGCGCCCCCAGUCCUAGCUCCCCUCUUUUGUAUCCCCCUUUAUUCCCCCUCCCCCCAUUCAACCCAACUUCAGCCCCGGCGCUGCGCCCCCCUUCUCUGGCCGGGCUCGAUUGGCCGCUUCCUGAGCUGUCAGACUCGAGUCCAGCGCGCUUAUUGGGCGAUUCUCUGGCCCGGCGACCGUGCCAAAGAAGGGCGCGCCGGGCGGGGGGCACCCGGGUAGCGACUGCCGCAGGGAGCCAGAGACUGAGUCCCUGGAGAGACCCGAGGGGCCCCAGAGCCAGACCCGGAAAUGGGCAGGGGAGAUGCUGAGACUGAAGAUCUCGGAGGCUCAGAAACACAACGACGGAAAAGAUGAAGAUGCAGUGGGAUACCUGAGACUGACUAAUUUAUAAAAGAAAGAGGUUUAUUCUGGCUCACAGUUCUGAAAGUUCAAGGCCAGGUGAACCCCCAUCUUCUGUUUUAAUUCACAGCGCAAAGGGAAAGGGAAAGGGGGCAUGUGAGGAAGAGAGAAAAGGGGACUGAACUCCUGAGAUAGUUAACCUAAGAGAAAGUUUCCCAAGAGAAAGGCCUGAAUCCAUUCCUGAGAGUAACCCCCAAGACCCAAACUCCUCCCACUGGGACCAACCUCCCAAUUCCACUGCAUUGAGAUAGUGAGGAUUCAACACAUGGAUUUGGGGGGAGGGGGGCACACUCAAAGUGAAUAUGUAUUUUCAGUUUAAAAAAUACAUAAUGGUAAAAAGCUAACAUAAAUUUAAUGAUUAAAAUGGAUUAAUAAUUUGCCACUCCCAAUAAUAUCUACAUGUUAGAAAAGUGGUCCUGUAUUUGUUGGGGUAGAAUCGUUCACGAUGCCCACAAGCAGGGCUUAGUGACUCUUGUUCAUGGACUCCGUGGUCCCUAGGGGUCCUUAAGCCCACAGGUUGGCCCCCAUUCCACCAAGGCGUGUGUGGUUCAGCUUCUUGGUCAGGCAAAUGCUGCCGAUGAGCAGAGACUCAUCGGCACCCUGAGAUAUUUCUUCCUCUUCAAGAUGCUCAGUCAAAAUGGCACCCUCUCCCUUCCCAAAUCAAAUGGGCUUUGCUGAGAGCAGACCCAAGCAAGGAAGCCAGCCAGAGCCAUGCCGGUUGGCAGACACUUGUCUCUAGCAAAUGUAAUUAAAGGCAGCAGCAAGUAAGUGCCUAUUAAUUUUUGAUUAGGAAAGUCAAAGAAAACCUUCGUGGAAGGCAGCAUCAUGGAACUUCAGGUUGAUGAUGAGAGCCUGGCCGUCCCCACCGUGCACACACACCUUCCACAAGUGCACGCGCAUACACACAUGCAUAUCUAGUGAACCCACAUACUCUCCAUUGAGCAUGGGAGACAGUCAGAGACCAGCACUGCUAUCCUCUGCAGGGGUCAUCUGGUCCCCUCAGGUCUGUUCCGCCCAUCUCCAUUUACCCCAGUGACUGUCCACAGUUGUAAUUGACUCCUGCAGGGACCUCAUAACAUGUAUGAAUGUCUCCCCAACCCGGCUGUCCCCGCACAUGUCAUUUUUAAGGUUUGGAUGCCCACAGGAAGAUUAAUAUUCAAAAGUCUCUAUGGUGAAUCCUUCUGAAAAGAAAAUUCAGUGUUUACUCCCCAUAUGUUUGUUUAGUAAGCCAGGGGCCAUGUCACCAGGUAAGAAGAAGUGGGGGCAGAGAGCGGUCUGGCUCUAACAGCUGUCCCUCCAUCAGGACACAGGGCUCAUCCAGCUGGUGCCCUCCUUAGCUCAUCUCUCCCUCCCUCCUGAGUCUGCUUCCUAGGCUUCCCACCUGAUGACAAGACAGUCUUUUCAGCCCACUCCAAGGAGGCUGAAGGGGAAAAGCACCAAGCUUGGAGUCACAGUAGCUGAAACUUCCACAUCAGCUCUACUACUUUCUAGCUGCGUGGUCUUUGACAAGUCACCUCACCUCUCUGAACUGCAAGACCCAUCAAGGACAGCAUUGCUUUCCUGCCACCUGGGAUGAUUUGUUUUACAGGACAAUGAUGUGAAAAUCCUUUUCAAAAGAUUUACCCUCAUAUAAAAUGGGAGCCAUUCUUAAUAAUUGUGAAUAAAUAAAUUCAUUCUUUCAUAGAUACA